rnacentral:rRNA from 1 species
AUCGAACGCUGGCGGCAGGCUUAACACAUGCAAGUCGAACGAGUGGCGGACGGGCGAGUAAUGCAUGGGAAUCUGGCUUAUGGAGGGGGAUAACGAGGGGAAACUGUCGCUAAUACCGCGUAACAUAGGAUGAGCCCAGGUGGGAUUAGGUAGUUGGUGAGGUAAAGGCUCACCAAGGCGACGAUCUCUAGCGGUUCUGAGAGGAUGACCGGCCACACGGGGACUGAGACACGGCCCAGACUCCUACGGGAGGCAGCAGUGGGGAAUAUUGCGCAAUGGGGGCAACCUGACGCAGCCAUGCCGCGUGAAUGAAGAAGGCCUUCGGGUUGUAAAGUUCUUUCGGUAGCGAGGCGUUACCUACAGAAGAAGCACCGGCUAACUCCGUGCCAGCAGCCGCGGUAAUAC